rnacentral:misc_RNA from 1 species
UUCCCACGUCGUGCAGGCGCG